GUGCAUGAGUAAACUGCCAGCCAGAAAAUCUCUUUUGUGCACUGAGAACCGGGGAUGCUGGUAUCUGUGGUGAAACACAGAGGGAGGUGUGUUUUUUUGAAAAAGAAUUUCAAAUCCUGUUCCUGUAGCCAGCACCUGUAGUCUGAGGGUUCAGCCAUCUCUUCAGUCAAGAGCCUGCAGUUGAAUUGCUACCCAUCUCCAGCAACAGAUGGAGCUCAGAAGAUGCUCAGCCCAUCUGAGAUUUUUUUUCUGAUAUCGAGAAUUACUUGGAAGGAACUUCGAAUUUAACUUUCCAAAUUAAGAAAACUUCACCAGCGGAAUGCCAGCAAUUGGGAAUGUUGACUUCUGAGAAUUUCCUGCAAUGUGCAGUAAUUUUCUAUUCUGGGGAAUAGAAAAGGAUCCCACACAUCAGAAGAUGAACAGAAGCCACAAUGGAGUAUUUCCACACAUUGACCUUUUCCAGAUACAAUUUCACUUCUGUUGAUAGUACAGCAAGUCUAAACACAUUCCACAAUGACUCUCUGGCUUGCUUCCUGUAGUUGAAACUUACUCCCAAACUUGCUGUCAGUUUUCCUGCAGGUUAGAAGAAUCAGUCUUUAGGGACUGCCUGGUCUCCUAUGACUUGAAAAGUGGGACUCCCUGUUUUGUGCCGUGAGUAUCACACUCUGCCGUGGCAGUGGAACAGGAAGCUGCUGACUAACAGAUUUGUGCAACUGCUGCUUUUUUAAGUGAGAAGAUCAAUGUUUUCUCCAAAAUAUCAAAGUGCUGGUAGCUGUUUUCUACUAAGUAAAAUGUGAAAAAAAUCAAGUCAGAAAAAAACCUCAUAUGUAAACUUUUCUAAAUCAACUCCUAAACUUGUAGCCUGAGGAAGCUAAUGUUUAUUUAAAAAAAAAUGGUUUAAUUUUUUACAUUCUUGUAAGUUAGCUGUAAUUUUAAUUUCGGCUUUCUAUAGAAAGUGUUCUGGGUGACCUCUGCUGGUUGGCUAAAUAAAGUUAGCCCUGUACAUCUUUUCCAAGUCUUUCAAACAGGAACAACAAUCCACUAACACUGGAAACAGCAUCAAUUCCUUUUUGUUAAGAGAAAGCAAAUUAUCUGCUAAGAAUCAUGACAUAUAUCAUCUAUGAAGAACAGUUUAAGAAAAUAAAGGAUUACUUGCAUUGUGAUAAUUUUCAUAUUUUACCAUUAUUUUUCUCUCUGUACAUACAGUUAAUACAUGACAGUGAAAGUGGACUAAAAAGAAUGUUUAAAAAUUACUAACCAGUGUGAGAUAUUACAAUUGUACCUCUGACUGACACGGAUGGAAGAUUGAUAUGAUCUGGUAAACAUAUUAAAUCUUUCUAAAUGACUUCUAAGAGGUGAUUUUUUCAGGACAAGUAUGUGCUCAGGCUGGUUGCACAAAGGGAACAAAACACAUGGCAAGAAGGAUGACUUCAUGCAUAAACCCUCAGGACUACUUUUAGUUGUAAGUUCUAGCAAAUACUAGCUUGCAAACAGAAUGACUGAACCAGUAGUAAAAUAUUUUCCUCUCCAUGGCAAAGUUUAAAGAUGUGGCCAAUGUAAUUUUCCUUAUACAACUCUGUAAAUAUUUCACUUCUGCAGUUGUGCUCAAAAAAAAAAAAAAAACAAACAACCCUUUGAUGCAAAGAAAAUUUCACUCCACAGCUUAAUGUAGAAAUUUAGGAGCAACAGAAGCUUAUAGCACAAGUGUAAUAGAAGCUCAAUAUAGGAAAAACCUAAAAAUUAUUAGUUCCAAUGAGACAAAAUAAAUUGCCAUUGUUUAGACUAUUUUAAUGAAAGAGGUCUUAGUUAUGAAAAUGGUACUAUUCUUGAAAUACAGCAUGAUUGGAUUCAACUGCACUACCAUGAAAAAAUUAGCCAUAGCAUAUUACACAUCACAGCCUCAUGAUUUCAUUUGCUCCACCUCUCUCUGUGUGAAGG